rnacentral:rRNA from 1 species
UACGUAGGUGGCAAGCGUUGUCCGGAUUUAUUGGGUUUAAAGGGUGCGUAGGCGGUUCUAUAAGUCAGUGGUGAAAUACGGCAGCUCAACUGUCGAGGUGCCAUUGAUACUGAAGAACUUGAGUACAGACGAGGUAGGCGGAAUUGACGGUGUAGCGGUGAAAUGCUUAGAUAUCGUCAAGAACACCGAUAGCGAAGGCAGCUUACUAGACUGUAACUGACGCUGAGGCACGAAAGUGUGGGGAUCAAACAGG